rnacentral:rRNA from 1 species
GUUAGUUUUUUGGAAGAUAGUCUAAUUUAGUAUGUGUUGUGGUGUCAUGAUUUAGGUUUCUUAAAAUCACCCUAAAACAGCAUAUAUAUUAUAAUAUGAUUAGAUAUAGUAUGGAUAAUGUUUUAGGGGUGUAUGAUUCAUGUUUGGGUAAUAUGAUAUUGGUUAGUGAGUCUAAUAGUUGAUGUCUUGUAUAGUUUAAUAAGAUACCUUGUUUGAACGGAGUAUUGUAUGGUAAUAGUUAUUAUGUAAGGGGGUAGUAUUACAAAUAGUAUCAAAAUAAAAGAAAAGUUAGAAAAUAGGCUAGCAGUUAAGGUAAAAUUUUGUGUUAAAAGAGGUAAAAAUGUUGUAGGCAGAUAGGGUGAUUUUAUAAAGUUCAGAAAGUUAAAAUUUUUUGGAAGAUAGUCUAAUUUAGUAUGUGUUGUGGUGUCAUGAUUUAGGUUUCUUAAAAUCACCCUAAAACAGCAUAUAUAUUAUAAUAUGAUUAGAUAUAGUAUGGAUAAUGUUUUAGGGGUGUAUGAUUCAUGUUUGGGUAAUAUGAUAUUGGUUAGUGAGUCUAAUAGUUGAUGUCUUGUAUAGUUUAAUAAGAAAGUAAAU